rnacentral:rRNA from 1 species
UACGUAGGGGGCAAGCGUUGUCCGGGAUUAUUGGGCGUAAAGCGCGCGCAGGCGGUUUUUUCAGUCUGGUGUUUAAUCCCGGGGCUCAACCCCGGGUCGCCCCGGACACUGGGAGACUGGAGUGUAGGAGAGGAAAGUGGAAUUCCACGUGUAGCGGGGAAAUGCGUAGAGAUGUGGAGGAACACCAGUUGUGAAGGAGACGUUCUGGCCUAUAACUGACUCUGAGGCGCGAAAGCGUGGUGAGCAAACAGG